rnacentral:misc_RNA from 1 species
GAUUUUGAUUUCUCAGGUAAUAUUGCGUUUCUUUACUAAUUUAAGUUUUUUCAUUUCUGAGUUCUUGGUUCCAAUUGUAGAAAAGUAAACUAGAGUGGAAUAAGAUGAUAUGCUUUUCUCUGGGGUUUUCAUUUUCUUGUAAUUGGAGUGUUUAAUCACAACAAGAACGUAUUUUUUUUGGGGGAUGAUAGUAACUUCAUUGAUCAGAUAGCACGAGAAAUUUCUAGUGAUAUGCUUCUCUACAAUAAUUACUGAAAACUUUACUGUCGUGUAGUUGUCCGGUGCACCCUGUUUUUUACUUUUUUCUGCUUUUUCUUUUGAUGAUUACCAUGUUCUCGUCUUGUCCUCUGUUUCUCGUUGUCAUACACUUCGUGAAGCAAACACAGUGGCGGAAUAUCAAGCUAAGCAGGGUUUGAAUCGCAAUUCGGACUUUAUUGCUUUCCUUUGACUUGUUUUGGAGUGCGGGCGAUGUUCAUUAUCUAUUUGUUGGUUUAUUUCUGUGACUUAUCCACUGGUUUCGUGACUGGUCUUGUGCAGGCAUUCAGCUCACAGGCAAUUACCAUUAAUUCGAUGGCUUACAUUCCUCCACAUAAGCGGCAUUCACAAGACAAGGGAAGGCCAUCACCAACUCCAGAGAAGUUUAUUCCUCUCUUCAAAAGCAAUUAUCUUAGUGUGAGAUCACAGGAUUCUAAAAUAGUCAAGAGGGGAAAGAUUGUCAGAUGGUUUCCUGUUGGUUUGAGUGAAAAUGAUCAGUUUCCUUCUUACAUUCGUCUUGAGCCAGUUUCCUUGGAAUCUUUUGAGCGCCGAUAUGGAGAUAAACCUCUUACCUUGGUGAACAGUAUUGCAACUGAAGAGAAUAAUGGGCUGAAAGAGAAUUAUGUGAGAAGUCCAUGGGUCACUAUUGCAGAAAGUGUACAGCGAGAUCUGCUCACCUCUUUCGAGAUUUUGAAGAAUGAAAUGGACUCCCAAGGGUUGGAAAAAGUAAAGCCAACAUUGGUUGCUAGAUUUGGUAAAAUUGUUUUUUAUGGAAGCUGGAGCCCUUCAGUAAGGCUAGGAAGGAUUGACAAAAAUCAGGUUGAUGGAAACAUUUUGAGACAAUUGAGAAGAUCAAUUUACCCAAAUGUUCCUUCUUCAUAUGUGGAAAACAUUAUAGAUGGGGUUGUCCCAAAAGUUGGAGUAGAUUUUGAAGAGGAAAAGGACAUCUACCAUAUAAAGGUAUUGCCUCUUCUUUGCAGCACUCUUAUUAUAAUUCUGAUUCAGUUUGAUAAUGAUUUUUUUCCCUAAGGAAUGACUUGUUUUUUCUUUGCUAGUGUAGUUGUCUGAUAAUACACGACCAUAUUCAACUGUUUCAUGCAAAUGUCGUAUACAGGCAGAUAAAAAACUUGUACUUUACAAGGCAGGUUCUUCUGCAACACAGCAAGAGUCUUGUCCCUAUAUGGCUAUCUUUUUCAUUUUCCACAUUGGCUAUUUCAAUUUUUUUCAGUUUACUUUUGCUUGUUUAAGGUUACAUUUAAAAAUUAAAAUGUAAACAUUUUCUGUGUAGGCUGAACUAAACAAAGUGUACCAUAUGGUCACAGAUGUAUCAUGCCUUGACAAGAAUCUCGACCUGAGGCUAAUACUUUACACCAAGAGGAUCUUAACUGCUCCUACUGUAAGUCAAUGUGCCAUCAUUCACUUGGAAAGGCAAUAUCAUUGCACCAUCUGGGUGUUUGACACCCACAAAAUUGUCUGGUGUUUCUGUUUUAUGCAACAACAAUAAUUUUCUGGUAGAGAAAGCUUGAGCUAGCAAGACUGGAUAAAAAUUUGCUAAAUGUAUUCCUAAACGUGCUUCUCUUAUACAUGAUAAAUUUAUUGUCAUAAGUCAGACUUCUUCUAUGUAUUAUUGCAGGAUGAUGAAAUGAAAAGCAUAAGGGAUCUAAUUUCUUCUGCAGUUUUGGAUUCAGAAGUGAAGGGUGGGUUGAGAUUGCCUCUUGGGAAGAUAUCUUCUGAAAAUAGAUACAGUGUAAUUUGGUUUGGGCAUACCAUAACUAAAGCCUACAGAAGUCCAUCAUUGAGGCUUAAAGUUGGUCAUGCCGAUAGAUUUUUCCUUGAGAGUGAAACUGGAGAAGUUUCAACGGAAACUUAUCUGAAGUUGAAUGGAAUACUUUCAGAAUUGCAGGAACAAGGAGCAGAAAGUGAUUCAGUCUCCACCAUGCUCAAAGACAGCUUAAGAAUGAUAUGGGACAACUUCUUAAGCUGCGAUCGUUUCUUAGCAUAGGCAUGCCAUCAAGCAUAUCCUACUGUCUCUCUCUCCCCCUCUGUGAAUAGUGUACAUUUUUAAUAUCAUUAGUGUGUGCUUGAAAUGGGAAGGGAUUUUCAAGAAGAUGACAUUAUAAAACUGUGAUUGGCUAUGGUUUCUUCGACUGCAUUGUGUAAUAUAUAAAUUUUACU